GUGUGAGCCACCAGGCCAGGUCUGUUAUUUCUUGAUUAUAUGUUAAACAAGAGGUAGGUUACUGGUGAGUUUUCUGAGACAGGGUUGGGCAAUUCCCAGAACUGAGGAUUCCUCCCCUCUUAGACCAUAUAGGGUAACUUCCUGACAUUGCCAUGACAUUUGUAAACUGUCAUGGUGCUGGUGGGACUGUCUUUUGGCAUGAUAAUGCAUUAUAAUCAGCAUAUAAUGAGCCAUGAGAAUGACCAGAGGGCACUUUCAUGACAUCUUGGUUUUGGUGGGGUUUGGGCAGCUUCAUCCUGUUUUAUCAGCAGGGUUUUUGUGACUUGUAUCUUGUGCCAACUUCCUAUCUCAUCCUGUGACUAAGAACACCUAACCUCGUGGGAAUGCAGCCCAAUAAGUUUCAGCUUUAUUUUACCCAGACCCUAUUCAAGAUGGAGUCGCUGUGGUUCGAACACCUCUGACAGGUGGAGCUAAGUGUAUGAAGAGAAUGGUCUUACCUUGGCCUUUCCUUCCUGGCUCAAAACCUGUGGGUUCACCUCACAGGUGAGCAACCUCCAGCUUGACCUCAAGUCCUUCUUUUACAAUACGUUCUCAAGGAGACAGAAGCCAAGAGUCUGGGCCCUGCCUCUUCCUUAGCUCCGACCCCAGGCUCACAAAGGAAUUGGAGGUACACUGGCAGUUCUAUAUGAUUGCUGUCCACUUAUUCUAUGAGCAAGGGGACACUUGUUUUGGCCCAGUGGUUUUCAUUAUUCUCCUUCUCCUCCUCUCCCUCCUCCUUCUCCUCUCCUUUCUCCUGCCACCUCUCUCCCCUCCUCACCCUCCUGCCUCCCCAACCUGCUGUUACAUAUGACUUCUAGUAAGUCUCCUUAAAAGGAAGAGAGGAUUUCCUUCUUUUCCCCUACCCCAUCCCACUGCCUGAAAUGUGGGUGCAAUAGCUGGAGCUCUAGUAGCCAUUUUGGACCCUGAGGACAAGAGUCACAUCCUAGAAGUGACAGAGCAGAGAGCUGGAGGAAGCCUGAAUCCCUGAUAAUUCUGUGGCAUCACCACACCACACCAGGCUCAGGCCACCUACUUCUGAACUUCAUAAAAGAUGUGAUAGUGUGGUCGGGCGUGGUGGCUUCUGCCUGUAAUCUCAGCACUUAGGGAGGCCAAGGCAGGUGGAUCACUUGAGGUCAGGAAUUUGAGACCAGCCUGGCCAACAUGGCGAUACCCUGCGUCUAUUAAAAAUACAAAAAUUAGCAGGGUGUAGUGGCGCACGCCUGUAAUCCCAACUACUUGGAGGCUGAGGCAGAGGAAUCGCUUGAACCCAGCAGUCAGAGGCUGCAGUGAGCUGAGAUCAAGCCACUCCACUUCAGCCUAGGUGACAGACUGAGACUCUGCCUCAAGAAAAUAAAUAAAUAAAAAUAAAAGAUAUGAUAGUAUUAGAGAAAUUAACUUCUAUUUAAGCCAUUGUUAUUUUAUGAUUAAAAAAACCCAAACAGUUUAAUCUAUCCUAAUUGAUAAGUCUUUACUCCCCAACAUCAGCUCAGGUGUGCCUCUGCAGGGCCCCAGACUACACUGAAUACUGUUCUGGCCAUAGGAAAAUCAGCUGGUUAUUGUGAACUGUGCUGACUCUUAGAGAUUCUGCCCAGAACAAAACGUGUCAACUCUGCUCACAUCGUGUUGACCAAAGCAAGUCAUGUGGCCAAAUCUUAUGGCAAUGGGGUGGGGAUAUAGAAUCCCCUCAAGGGGAAGAACAGGGAAUAUUUAGAAAUAAUAAUAUGAUCCAUCCUAAUAGUCAACAAAACCAAGGCCCAAAGAAGCAAAGUGGCUUACCUGAGGUUUUACAGACUACUAGGAGGCAGAGUUAGAAUCCUGGUUGAGGACUAGUAUGGUGGCUCAUGCCUGUAAUCCUAGCACUUUGGGAGGCCAAGGUGGGUGGAUCACCUGAGGUCAGGAGUUUGAGACCGGCCUGGCCAACAUGGUGAAACUCCGUCUCUACUAAAAAUACAAAAAUUAGCCGGGAGUGGUGGCAGGUGCCUGUAAUCCCAGCUACUCGGGAGGCUGAGGCAGGAGAAUCUCUUGAGCCUGGGAGGCAGAGGUUGUGGUGAGCCGAGACUGCGCCACUGCACUUCAGCCUGGGCAACAAGAGCAAAACUCUGUCUCAAAAAAAAAAAAAAGAACCCUGGCUGGGCUGAUUUCAACUCUAAUGCUCUUUCCUUUACACUUUACUAUGUCUCAAAAGGAACACUUGAUUUGGGAACACAUAAUGGCUUCGAAGAAGGCAGUGUUGGUGAAAUCAGGCUCACCUACUAGGUCUUAUUUCCAUGAUUUAUCCCUUUCCUGCAGUCUUCUUUGGGGCAGCAGUUAUAAUCGCCCUCUCUUCUCUUCCCCUCUUUUGAAGUCCAAGGUAUCAAAAUUUAUUACUACAGUGGAGACUAGGAAGUGCACCCCUGCCCAACUUGAGGAAGGAUAACAAAAUGUGUGGAGCAAUGUGUGAAAUAGCCUUCACAUGCGAACACAGAUAUUCCCAGAGGCAAAGGCAACACAGUGUGACCAUAUUGGGACCUUUCCAAUGAAUUCAGAUAUUUUAAGGAUAUAGACAAAAGUCAGGAGGAAAGGCAUAUUCCUAAGUGGUAUGCAGGAAAGAAUUAUGGGAUAUUGUGGGUCUUUACAUUUUUCUCCUGUGUUGUGAGCUGUUCUGGUUCCUUCAUCUUCCAAACCACUAAUUCGAUUUUCCACAUAACCAAUCCACCUUUCAGUAGUCAAUGUAUUUUAAAUAUUUAAAUUUGCACAGUUUCUUUUACUCCCAGAAACUUUUUAAAUGCUGUAACUGUAUCUCCUCAAGAGUUUUUUUUUCCUUUUUCAGUUAAUUUUCUUGUGUAAUUCUUCCAUUAGUUCAAUAGCAGCCACUUGUUCAACUAACAAAAAAAUGAGAAAAAAGAAAAAGAAGGGAAAGUAAUAAAAACUCUAAUAAAGAAAAAGCAUAAAAUAAAAUUGGUAGGAAUAAAAUUGAGAAUAUCAGUUAUAAUACCAAGAGAAAAGAUGGUCAAAGUAAAUUUAUAAAACAAAAUAUCUUAUAUACAAGCAUAUACUUAUAGUUAAACAGUAAAAAGCGUAGAAAAUAAAGGGAUGGAAGAAAAAUAAAGUAGUAGUGGUGAUGUUAGUAUCAGAUAAAAUGAAAUUUAGGAUCAAAGACAUUCAAUUGGUCAAAGAGGAACAUUACAUAAUGAUAAGA
rnacentral:lncRNA from 10 species